rnacentral:rRNA from 1 species
GACGAACGCUGGCGGCGUGCUUAACACAUGCAAGUCGAACGGAAAGGCCCUGCUUUUGUGGGGUGCUCGAGUGGCGAACGGGUGAGUAACACGUGAGUAACCUGCCCUUGACUUUGGGAUAGCUUCAGGAAACUGGGGCUAUUACCGGAUAGGAGCUCCUGCUGCAUGGUGGGGGUUGGAAAGUUUCGGCGGUUGGGGAUGGACUCGCGGCUUAUCAGCUUGUUGGUGGGGUAGUGGCUUACCAAGGCUUUGACGGGUAGCCGGCCUGAGAGGGUGACCGGCCACAUUGGGACUGAGAUACGGCCCAGACUCCUACGGGAGGCAGCAGUGGGGAAUAUUGCACAAUGGGCGGAAGCCUGAUGCAGCAACGCCGCGUGCGGGAUGACGGCCUUCGGGUUGUAAACCGCUUUCGCCUGUGACGAAGCGUGAGUGACGGUAAUGGGUAAAGAAGCACCGGCUAACUACGUG